GUGUAGGAUAGGUGGGAGGCUUUGAAGCGAGGACGCCAGUUCUUGUGGAGCCAACCUUGAAAUACCACCCUUUAAUGUUUGAUGUUCUAACGUAGACCCGUAAUCCGGGUUGCGGACAGUGUCUGGUGGGUAGUUUGACUGGGGCGGUCUCCUCCCAAAGAGUAACGGAGGAGCACGAAGGUUAGCUAAUCCUGGUCGGACAUCAGGAGGUUAGUGCAAAGGCAUAAGCUAGCUUGACUGCGAGAGUGACAGCUCGAGCAGGUGCGAAAGCAGGUCUUAGUGAUCCGGUGGUUCUGAAUGGAAGGGCCAUCGCUCAACGGAUAAAAGGUACUCCGGGGAUAACAGGCUGAUACCGCCCAAGAGUUCAUAUCGACGGCGGUGUUUGGCACCUCGAUGUCGGCUCAUCACAUCCUGGGGCUGAAGUAGGUCCCAAGGGUAUGGCUGUUCGCCAUUUAAAGUGGUACGCGAGCUGGGUUUAGAACGUCGUGAGACAGUUCGGUCCCUAUCUGCCGUGGGCGUUGGAAGAUUGAGAGGGGUUGCUCCUAGUACGAGAGGACCGGAGUGAACGCACCACUGGUGUACGGGUUGUGAUGCCAAUUGCAUUGCCCGGUAGCUAAGUGCGGAAGAGAUAACCGCUGAAAGCAUCUAAGCGGGAAACUUGCCUCGAGAUGAGUCUUCCCUGGGCACUAGAUGCCCCUGAAGGGCCGUUGAAGACGACGACGUAGAUAGGCUGGGUGUGUAAGCGUAGCGAUACGUUGAGCUAACCAGUACUAAUGACCCGAGAGGCUUAACCUUACAACACCGAAGGUGUUU
rnacentral:rRNA from 1 species